AGAGUUUGAUCCUGGCUCAGGAUUAACGCUGGCGGUGCGCCUAACACAUGCAAGUCGAGCGGAGGACUCUAAGACCGUAAGGUUAAGGAGUCUUUAGCGGCGGACGGGUGAGUAACGCGUAGGGAUCUGCCGGAAUCCCGGGGAUACCCCCUCGAAAGAGUGGUUAAUACCCGAUGGUCUCCUCCCUUAACGGGGGGAGUAAAGGGCUUACCGGAUUCUGAGGAACCUGCGUCCUAUCAGCUAGCUGGUGGGGUAAUGGCCUACCAGGGCACUGACGGGUAGCUGGUCUGAGAGGAUGACCAGCCACACUGGGACUGAGACACGGCCCAGACUCCUACGGGAGGCAGCAGUGGGGAAUUUUCCGCAAUGGGCGAAAGCCUGACGGAGCGACACCGCGUGGGGGACGAAGGUCUUCGGAUCGUAAACCCCUUUAAAGAGGGACGAGAAAGGACGGUACCUCUUCAAAAAGCCACGGCUAACUGCGUGCCAGCAGCCGCGGUAAGACGUGGGUGGCAAGCGUUAUCCGGAUUUACUGGGCGUAAAGGGCCCGCAGGUGGUUCUUAAAGUCUCCGGUCAAAUUUCAGGGCCUAACCCUGAAUCGCCGGAGAUACUCAGGAACUAGAGGAGAGAAGAGGAAAGUGGAAUUUCCGGUGGAGCGGUGAAAUGCGUAGAUAUCGGAAGGAACACCAAAGGCGAAGGCAGCUUUCUGGUCUCUUCCUGACACUCAUGGGCGAAAGCCAGGGGAGCAAACGGGAUUAGAUACCCCGGUAGUCCUGGCCCUAAACGAUGGUCACUUGGUGUGGGAGAGUUAAAUCUUCCGUGCCGUAGGUAACCCGUUAAGUGACCCGCCKGGGGAGUACGGSCCGCAAGGUUGAAACUCAAAGGAAUUGACGGGGACCCSCACAAGCGGCGGAGCAUGUGGUUUAAUUCGAUGUUACCCGAAAAACCUUACCAGGGUUGGACAGGUAGGUAGUAGGAAACUGAAAAGAGACCCAUCCUCCUCGCAAGAGGAAGAAGCCUAUCCAGGUGGUGCAUGGCUGUCGUCAGCUCGUGUCGUGAGAUGUUGGGUUAAGUCCCCCAACGAGCCCAACCCCUGUUCUUAGUUGCCACCUUAAGAACCGAUUCUUGAGGGGCUCUCUAGGGAGACUCCCUGCGUAGACCAGGAGGAAGGAGGGGACGACGUCAAGUCCUCAUGCCCUUUAUCCCCUGGCCUACACACAUGCUACAAUGGGUGGUACAACGGGAACCCAAGCCGUAAGGUGGAGCAAAACCCCCAAAACCAUCCUCAGUUCAGAUCGAGGGUUGCAACUCACCCUCGUGAAGUCGGAGUCGCUAGUAACCGUGGAUCACCAAGCCGCGGUGAAUACGUUCUCGGGUCUUGUACACACCCCCCGUCACGCCAACCGAAUGGGAGSCACCAGAAGUCGUCGGACUCAACCCCCAAGGGAGAGAGGCGCCGAAGGUGUGUUUSGUAAGGGGGGGGAAGUCGUAACAAGGUA
rnacentral:rRNA from 1 species